CGCGGCCGAGCCUCUCUAGGAGCAGCGUUGCUACCAGUGGGUAGCACUCUGGCCCCGCCUCCGCGCUCUGAGUCUUAGUGUCGGAGGCUCCUGCGCCCUACGCUCAGGUCCUGCAGGUCUGAGCAGCAGGGCAGUUGUUCCUCGAGGUGGGCUGGGGAAGAGUCGGGGGCCAGCAGUGACGCCGGGGAUCUGUAUCUUAGUAAAGCUCCCGGUUCUACCGGAUUCGGGAGUUUCCAGACUGGGCCAGUGGAUCGAUCACACGCCGACAGCCCUUAAGGCAGCCUUUUUGUAACAAAUAUUUCCUAGUGACUGCUUUAUUCUCCUGUCGUGAAACUUACGAUCAUGACUUAGAAGAUCAUAGGAGACCUAACGAAGUGGUGGAUAAUUUGCCUUUUCACAUGGAAUGUGCCUGAACGCCACAGCCACAAUGCUGUCUGUCUUACGCUGGUGUUUCAAAAAUCACAAGUGUCUACAAUGAGAGAGGAUUUGAUGUGGAUUACUUCCCUACAGCUGAAAACAUACCGAACAGUGAUGGAAAGAAUGCCUUCCUUCCAAGAUUGAGCACAAAGCAGGUAUGUCUGCUCUUACCACUACUAUUCAACACCAUACUGGGAGUCCUAACAAGUGCAAGAAGGCCAGAAAAAGAAAGAAAGGGAAUAGAUUGAAAAGGAAGAAAUAAAACUGCUACUAUUUGCAAGAGGACAAAACUGCCCACAGAGAAAAUCCCAAAGAAUCUACACAAUCUCCUAGAAUGAACAAGUGAGUUUAGCAAGGUCACAGAAUCAAAGUCAAGGUACAAAAAAGAAAAAAACCAAUUGUUGGAAACUGAAAUUUCUUUUUUCUUUUUUUUUUUUUUUGGUGGAGAACGUGGGCAUCGAUCCCACCACCUCUCGCAUGCCAAGCGGGAAACUGAAAUUUCUGAUAAUAAAAUUUGCUACAAUACAAUUUUAAUAAAUUUUCAAAAAUAGUACCAUUUACAACGCCACACAAAAAAAUCAUGAAAUAUUUAGGUAUAAAUCUAACAAAACAUGUCUAAGAUACACCUGCUGAGAACUACAAAAUAAUGACAAAUGAAAACAAUAAAUAGAGAGAGAAACACCGUAUUCGUCGACUGAAAAACUCAAUAUUGUUGUCAUUUCUCCCCAAUUGAUCUAUAUAUUCAAAGCAAUCCCAUCCAAAUCCCAGCAAGACCUUUUGUAGAAAUCAACAAAGUGAUUCAAUUGUAUGUCAAUCAUACAAUAAAGCUUAAAAAGAAAAAAAAGCAGUGGAGAAAGGAGGGCAAAACCGUGUAAUGGUUAGAGCAUGAGCUCUGAAGUCAAACUGCCCCCGUUUGAAUCUCUGCUCUUCCACUUAUUAGCUGUAUCUUUGGGCAAGCUACCAAACCUCCCUGUUCUUCAACUUCCUGACUGAAACAAGGUAACAGCAUCUACUUCAAAGGCUGCUGGGAGGAUUGAGUUAAUGUGGAGUACCUAGCAUAGGAAAGCACACAAAAUGUUACUGGCUGUUAGCGUUUAUUAAAAGGACAGCUAUCACAAACAAAAGGCUAAUAUUCUGCAAUGACUAGAACAAACCAACCUUGACUCAAGUAACUUCGACCAUUUCUUUGCCUGAAUCACUUUUGGUGUGUCUGCAGAAUUACAAGUCCAUUACUAAAAGAAGAUCUCCCAGUGUCUUCUCCACUUGGGUGGAUUGCUGUCAAAUAAGGAGCUGGUAAAGCUGUCUUCUCAGGGCAAGAUUUCAGACAGCAGGGUAAGUCUGGAAUUGAGAACUGUCAUGACACGUAGUUGACAGUACAAAGUGGCAUGGGAGGGAACAGGGCACAGACUGACAUGCAUCCAAAGAAGAGGACUGGCUCCUUAUUUUUACAAAAACAUACCUUGGGAUCUCUCUAGAUGGGUGGAGACUAUUUUGAUUUUCAUGAGUGGGGGCAGGUAAGAGUGUUGCAAAUAGUAUCUAGUGGGCAGAAGUCACUGAGUAAGCUAAACAUCCUACCGUGCAUAGGAUAGCACCAACAAAAAACUAUCAGGUCCCAAAUGCUGAUAGUGUCAAGUUUGAGAAACCCUGCUUUAGAUGGAUAACCCAGGCCAUUUCUUUGGUUAUAAGGUAAUGGCAGACAUGCUAUUCUAGGCAUUAUAAGGACAAAUGUCAAGCUUUUGCAUGUAAAUAUAUGAGUAAUAGAAACAUACAGAUUUUGUCAACCAACAAAUUUAAGAAUGCCAAGGAGCAUAUAUUGAAAAUAUUUUAAACAGGAUACAUUAUCUGGGUAAAAGUCAGGGCUAAUAAUUUGUAAGUGUCAGUAAGAAAUUAUAAAUUACAGGGGCACCUGGGCUCCGUCAGUUAAGCAUCUGACUCUUGGUUUCAGCUCAGGUCAUCUUAAAUUCGAGUCCUGCUUCA